rnacentral:rRNA from 1 species
UGUGACGAGUUUGAUCAUGGCUCAGAUUGAACGCUGGCGGCAGGCUUAACACAUGCAAGUCGAGCGGAGACUUCGGUCUUAGCGGCGAACGGGUGAGUAACACCUAGGAAUCUGCCUAUUAGUGGGGGAUAACGUGUGGAAACGCACGCUAAUACCGCAUACGUCCUACGGGAGAAAGCAGGGGAUCUUCGGACCUUGCGCUAAUAGAUGAGCCUAGGCCGGAUUAGCUAGUUGGUGGGGUAAAGGCCUACCAAGGCGACGAUCUAUAGCUGGUCUGAGAGGAUGAUCAGCCACAUCGGGACUGAGACACGGCCCGGACUCCUACGGGAGGCAGCAGUGGGGAAUAUUGGACAAUGGGCGCAAGCCUGAUCCAGCAAUGCCGCGUGUGUGAAGAAGGCCUUAGGGUUGUAAAGCACUUUCAAUUGUGAAGAAGGGGUUAAGGUUAAUACCCUUGAUCUUUGACGUUAACUUUAGAAGAAGCACCGGCUAACUCUGUG